AACGAACGCUGGCGGCAGGCCUAACACAUGCAAGUCGAACGCCCGUAGCAAUACGGGAGUGGCAGACGGGUGAGUAACGCGUGGGAACGUGCCCUUCGGUUCGGAAUAACUCAGGGAAACUUGAGCUAAUACCGGAUACGUCCGUAAGGAGAAAGAUUUAUCGCCGAAGGAUCGGCCCGCGUCGGAUUAGCUAGUUGGUGAGGUAAUGGCUCACCAAGGCGACGAUCCGUAGCUGGUCUGAGAGGAUGAUCAGCCACACUGGGACUGAGACACGGCCCAGACUCCUACGGGAGGCAGCAGUGGGGAAUAUUGGACAAUGGGCGAAAGCCUGAUCCAGCCAUGCCGCGUGAGUGAAGAAGGCCUUAGGGUUGUAAAGCUCUUUCAGCGGGGAAGAUAAUGACGGUACCCGCAGAAGAAGCCCCGGCUAACUUCGUGCCAGCCGCGCUGUAAC
rnacentral:rRNA from 1 species